rnacentral:rRNA from 2 species
UCCUGACUGACCGAUAGUGAACCAGUACCGUGAGGGAAAGGCGAAAAGAACCCCGGCGAGGGGAGUGAAAAAGAACCUGAAACCGUGUACGUACAAGCAGUGGGAGCACGCUUAGGCGUGUGACUGCGUACCUUUUGUAUAAUGGGUCAGCGACUUAUAUUCUGUAGCAAGGUUAACCGAAUAGGGGAGCCGAAGGGAAACCGAGUCUUAACUGGGCGUUAAGUUGCAGGGUAUAGACCCGAAACCCGGUGAUCUAGCCAUGGGCAGGUUGAAGGUUGGGUAACACUAACUGGAGGACCGAACCGACUAAUGUUGAAAAAUUAGCGGAUGACUUGUGGCUGGGGGUGAAAGGCCAAUCAAACCGGGAGAUAGCUGGUUCUCCCCGAAAGCUAUUUAGGUAGCGCCUCGUGAAUUCAUCUCCGGGGGUAGAGCACUGUUUCGGCAAGGGGGUCAUCCCGACUUACCAACCCGAUGCAAACUGCGAAUACCGGAGAAUGUUAUCACGGGAGACACACGGCGGGUGCUAACGUCCGUCGUGAAGAGGGAAACAACCCAGACCGCCAGCUAAGGUCCCAAAGUCAUGGUUAAGUGGGAAACGAUGUGGGAAGGCCCAGACAGCCAGGAUGUUGGCUUAGAAGCAGCCAUCAUUUAAAGAAAGCGUAAUAGCUCACUGGUCGAGUCGGCCUGCGCGGAAGAUGUAACGGGGCUAAACCAUGCACCGAAGCUGCGGCAGCGACGCUUAUGCGUUGUUGGGUAGGGGAGCGUUCUGUAAGCCUGCGAAGGUGUGCUGUGAGGCAUGCUGGAGGUAUCAGAAGUGCGAAUGCUGACAUAAGUAACGAUAAAGCGGGUGAAAAGCCCGCUCGCCGGAAGACCAAGGGUUCCUGUCCAACG